CGGCUACAUCACGUUGAAACACCACUUCUCGUACGAGCACCAAAGUUAAGCAACGUCGAGCCUGAUCAGUACCUAGAUUGGUGACCGUUGAGGAAUAGCAUGU